rnacentral:rRNA from 1 species
UACGUAGGGUGCGAGCGUUUAAUCGGAAUUACUGGGCGUAAAGCGUGCGCAGGCGGUUCGUCGUGUCCGAUGUGAAAGCCCCGGGCUCAACCUGGGAAUGGCAUUGGAAACUGGCGGACUCGAGUGUGGCAGAGGGGGGUGGAAUUCCGCGUGUAGCAGUGAAAUGCGUAGAGAUGCGGAGGAACACCGAUGGCGAAGGCAGCCCCCUGGGCUAACACUGACGCUCAGGCACGAAAGCGUGGGUAGCAAACAGG